rnacentral:rRNA from 1 species
GGUGAACGCUGGCGGUAGGCCUAACACAUGCAAGUCGAACGGCAGCACAGUAAGAGCUUGCUCUUACGGGUGGCGAGUGGCGGACGGGUGAGGAAUACAUCGGAAUCUACUUUUUCGUGGGGGAUAACGUAGGGAAACUUACGCUAAUACCGCAUACGACCUACGGGUGAAAGCAGGGGAUCUUCGGACCUUGCGCGAUUGAAUGAGCCGAUGUCGGAUUAGCUAGUUGGCGGGGUAAAGGCCCACCAAGGCGACGAUCCGUAGCUGGUCUGAGAGGAUGAUCGGCCACACUGGAACUGAGACACGGUCCAGACUCCUACGGGAGGCAGCAGUGGGGAAUAUUGGACAAUGGGCGCAAGCCUGAUCCAGCCAUACCGCGUGGGUGAAGAAGGCCUUCGGGUUGUAAAGCCCUUUUGUUGGGAAAGAAAAGCAGCAGGUUAAUACCCCGCUGUUCUGACGGUACCCAAAGAAUAAGCACCGGCUAACUUCGUG